GAUUGAUUUAACCCCAAAGUUGCCUCCAGCGGCAAUAUCCACCCACCCCAGCGGCAUUUCACUUCUACAUUUUCAGGAAGUGCAGAGUGCCGACUGGUAGAGUUGCUGACGCUCGCAGUCAAUCAGUGCCUCUCCAUUAACUAAACUGGCCUGGGGGAAGAGAUAUCACCGCUGGAGACAACUGUUCAAAAACGGUUUAACCCCUUAAGGAAAGAAUGCCUCCACGGACCUCCUGGCACCAUAACUGCCUUUAGAUUACGUUAUUUUGGUACCUUGAGCAUCCCUUUAAGAUCAUUCACACUUGAGUGAAAAAGCUUGUAAAUGAACCACAAC